GUGGGGUGGCUUCAAACUCUGGUUUGUGACUACAACUAAAUCUGUGCAUACUGGGAGCCCUGUCACUGUUGGACCAUUGGUAUUUAUAAGGACCUCUGAUAUUCGUGGUUGCAAAACCUUAUACCGUUGACAUGGUGUGCGAGGCCAAGUGACAAAUGACAAAGAUCUCUGUGUUAACACGGCUGCAAUGCAGAAGUAACAAGGAUCUACCACUGACACCUUUGUCUACACUCGAGCAAUUUGGGAUAAGCCAAUGGAUGAAUAAAUCAAUUCAACAGUCACCUGAACAAGAGCUCACCUGAAUAAAUCAACACAGCCACAAUCCAUCGGCUCUAAGCAUCUUUAAUUGCCUUUGCUGUUGGAGCCUGGACAUUUUUAAAAUAUACAUUGAGCUAAAGUCCUGCACUGGCUUCAUUAAGAUAAAUGUAAAUUAUUAUUAAA